UGGAUUAAGAAUCAGGAGAGGUGGGGCUGGGCGCAGUGGCUUACGCCUGUAAUCCCAGCACUUUAGGAGGCCGAGGCAGGUGGAUCACGAGGUCAGGAGUUCGAGACCAUCCUGGCCAACAUGGUGAAACCCUGUCUCUACUAAAAUUAGAAAAAAAAUAGCCGGGCAUUGUGGUGGGCACCCGUAGUCCCAGCCACUCAGGAGGCUGAGGCAGGAGAAUCACUGGAACCCAGGAGGCGGAGGUUACAGUGAGCUGAGAUUGCGCCACUGCACUCCAGCCUGGCGACAGAGCGAGACUCUGUCUCAAAAAAAAAAAAAAAAAAAAAUCAGGAGAGGUGGGGUGUGUUUUAUGACUUUAGGCAAAUCAACCUAAGAGACAGUUUUCUCUUCUGCAGAGUUUUAGGAAAGUCACAAAUUAAUGUACUUGAAGAAAGUGUACAAUAGAAUAGUAGUAUUACCAAAUCCUAAAGUUCUUAUUGUGGAAAAUCUCUGAAAUAUUACCUGCCUAUGUAGAUGCCAACCCUUCAGCAAUCCAGACAAGCUUAUUAUCUUUUCUGGAUGAAUUAAGUGUCCACAGUUUUGUACCUCUUCAAUGUGAUUACUUUGUAGGCUAGACUGCAGACUGUUAAUUGACUACUUUCUGGUACCCUCUAGCUAUUGUCUUGAGACAGUAAAAUAAUUACUGCUCUCUAGCUACAUCCUUAGCAUUUUCCUGUUCUGAAAUGAAAUCAUUUUCUUAUGUUAAAAAUAAAGUUAAUUACUGUUCAACUCCCAAGGUGAUAUUCAGCUGCCACCUCUUACAACCCUCUCUUCUUAAUCUGUGUAACUAUUCUACAGCCCAGGAAUAGCCUGAGUUUAUUAAAGUCACCCACACAGAUCUGGCUCUUUUCAAUCAAGCUGCCCUCAAAGUGCCAGCUGAUGAUACUCCCAAGGAGACUCACAAGCCCACUGCUGCCUGCAGUUCAGACAGAGUCCAUGCUAUUUUAACUGGACUCUUGGCACUAUUAGCACUGACACAAUGACUCCUUAAAUUACGAAUUACAACAGGCCAUUCUAUUCCGUCUGUGCUUCUAAUGCUGUCACCAUGUGAUUUUCCCCCAGAAGAGAUAUUUCCCAGGUAGGGGUAUGCUUAACAUGCAGUUACGGAACUGAGAGUUAAUGUCAGAAGAAAGCUUUUGCAGUGUAGCCACAGAAUAGUUACAGGCUACAUUGCUCAGCAUGCACAAAUAAAAGCUUAAAAGAACGUGUUAAAGGAAAGAUUUCCCUGUCUUUUUAGCCUCCUACGAACAUUAAGAAGAAAAAUGUUGCGAGGCACAGUGGCUUACGCCUGUAAUCCUAGCACUCUGGGAGGCUGAGGUGUCCAAGAGGAUCACCUGAGGUCAGGAGUUUGAGACCAGCCUGGCCAACAUGGUGAAACCCCAUCUCUACUAAAAAUACAAAAUUUGCCUAGCGUGGUGGUGGGCACCUGUAAUCCCAGCUACUUGGGAGGCUGAGGCAGGAGAAUUGCUUGAAUGCGGGAAGUACAGGUUGCAGUGAGCAGAGAUCACGCCACUUCACUCCACUCCAGCCUGAGUGAAAUAGCGAAACUCCAUCUCAAAA
rnacentral:lncRNA from 10 species